GACGGAGGAGGCAAGCGUUGUUCGGAAUUAUUGGGCGUAAAGCGCGCGCAGGCGGUCUCUUAAGUCUGAUGUGAAAGCCCCCGGCUCAACCGGGGAGGGUCAUUGGAAACUGGGAGACUUGAGUGCAGAAGAGGAGAGUGGAAUUCCACGUGUAGCGGUGAAAUGCGUAGAGAUGUGGAGGAACGCCAGUGGCGAAGGCGACUCUCUGGUCUGUAACUGACGCUGAGGCGCGAAAGCGUGGGGAGCGAACAGG
rnacentral:misc_RNA from 1 species